AAUGAACGUUGGCGGCGUGGAUUAGGCAUGCGAGUCGAGCGAGAACCGUAGCAAUACGGGGACAGCGGCGAAAGGGACAGUAACGGGUAGAUUAUCUGCCCUCAGGUUUGGGAUAGCUGCGGGAAACUGCAAGUAAUACCAAAUAUUAUCUCCGGAUCAAAGGUGUGAUUCCGCCUGAGGAUGAGUCUGCCUCCUAUUAGCUAGUUGGUGGGGUAACGGCCUACCAAGGCGUUGAUGGGUAGCGGGUGUGAGAGCACGACCCGCGUCAUUGGGACUGAGACACUGCCCAGACACCUACGGGUGGCUGCAGUCGAGAAUCUUCGGCAAUGGACGCAAGUCUGACCGAGCGACGCCGCGUGUGGGAUGAAGGCCUUCGGGUUGUAAACCACUGUCAGAGGGGAUGAAAUGCAGGUGGGUUCUCCCAUCUGUUUGACAUGGCCUCAGAGGAAGUACGGGCUAAGUUCGUGCCAGCCGCCGCAGUAACAC
rnacentral:rRNA from 1 species